GAAGCUGAAAAAUCAGGACAAAAAUAAAUUAGAUGCAAACCCUACCAGAAUUCCUUUGGUUAUGUUCCACAUACGUAUCAAGCUACGUAUGUAAAUAUAGUUCUUUCUCAAGAUGUACAAAUAGAAAAAGCCUUUCUCCCAUGUGAAGCACCAAAUCAUGCUAAGAUAAUGUAUUAAUUAAACUGAUGAGUGCUAUCUAAGAAUUCUUCACAGAAUCAGUCUUACUUACAGUGCUGCUGUUGGUAAAAAUAUCAGCAGUCACUAAUAAAUGUGAGCAUGGGCAUAUAGCUAUUAGAUAAAGUCAAGUGCAAAUAUCACUACUCUGUAUCUGUGAGCAUCUAUAUGGUAAAGUUGGCACUCUUUAAAUACUUUAAAAAACAAAUACAUCUUAUUAAAGAAAACAAUUUAUGAUUGAAGAAUAUAAAGCCAAUUCUGAUUGGAGGGGUUGUUGGGCUUUUUUUAGGUUAUCUAUAUAAUUUACUAGUUCUUUGAUAAACUAUAAUUUCUAAAAAAAAAAAUGGGUUUGGAUUAAAAAAACAAAUUUCAUUCUGGAUUUUGUGGAUACAAUUUGUAAUACAUCACUGGAGCUAGCACCUGUUUAUAUAAAAAACCUAGCAUGUCAUUAUUGUUUGAAGACAAUAGCUACAGUCGUGGUUUAAGACGUUUACUUAUGGACUUUUGUUUUUCUUUGUUACUUUGCACAGCAAUACAAUGUCCCAGUGGAAAACUUACAGAUGCAGAAAGUUAUCUACAGGGAGCCCUCUUCUAGCACAAGUUGCAGGAACCGCUACUACAAGCACUACCAACUGUCUUCAUACAGAGAAUGAAGAGGAGAGGGCUCAUGAAAAAGAAACACAAAUGGCUGUGAAUAGUUCAAGAGGAAAAAAAAAAGAAAGAAAAAAUGCUAAUGAAAGGGAUUAAAGGGAAUCAGGAAGUUCUUACAGGUCAUCAAAGGAAACAAGGCAUCCUAAAAAAUGAGUUUCUCCACGUAGAGAGGAAAAUGACUAACCUUCCCAGCAGCACGGGGACAGAAGAAUGCUACCAGCUGUCCUGACCUAGUGCAACUCCCCUGCUCCCAGCAUCUUUACAGGAAUCAGCAAAGUUUCUGUGGGACAGUAGCUACGUCAUAUGGUGAUCUUUCUACACAGAGAGCACUGUUGGAUCAGUAUUCACCACUACAUACUCAUUUGAGUCUAAAACAAUCUCCAACAGCAGUGUCGCUCACAUGGUUCUCCAAAUCAACCUUCCAGCAAACAGCAGCCCUCCAAAAUGGAUGAACAGAGACAGGUGCCAUAAAAGGAUACAGAGACAUGUUUUCAUGCUAUGUAAUACCUACCUGGGCAUGGUGCUAAUGAAAGCAUAUGAAAAAGAAUGAAGGGGAGAGAGAAAUAAAAUAAAUAGGGAAGAUGGUUACAAAAGAAAAAGAUAUGUUUUAAAAUCAAAUUGUUUAAUACAUAAGAUUACAUGAGUCUAGACUGCUGAUACUAUUUUGCUUUGCUGAAUUUCUUGAAAAACCAAAGUCAAUAUAAUACAAUGAAAAUCACAUUAAAGCAAAAGGAAAAUAGUUUAAGCAGUGUCUGUGAAAAUUAUUACAACCAGUAACCUGACAGUGACAGAAAAUGAGACCAUGGAGUUAGAAAGAUGUACUUUUUUCUUUCGUUCUAUCUCUCUGUAUCAUUUUGCUUCAUUUCAAUAUAAUCACGCUUGAUACGGGGUGGGAAAUAAUUUUCACACAACAGAAAAUAGAACACAUCAAUUACAUGCCAGGAAAAAUCUACUGACGUCCACUGACAGUAUUUAAAAGCUAAAGUAUUCUAAAUGGGAGCAGAAACUGGCUUAACAUUUGCCUGCACAAUCAUUUCUAUACAUCAUCCCAAAAUUAAAAAACACAAACCACUUUGUUACCAUUGAAAGCACAUGAUAAAAGGUUUCGACUUUUAAGCAUUCUGGUGUAGCUCAUAAACAUCCUCAGAGACUAAAAGCCACACAGUCACUUUGUUUUCAGUGGAUUCGCCAGAGCUGUCUAAAAACCAACAAAGACUCCAAGCUUAUAAGGCCUGAAUGCUGAGAGAUUUACACAUGCUGUGAGGCAAACCAAACUGCUUCCUGACGUCUUUUGUUCCAGAAGCAAUUCAUAGCCUAAUGAAGUAAACAGAAUGGAUCCUACUGACUUGACUGUGCUUUGGAAACACUACCAGAACAACAAUCGAGACUGGAAAUGAGGUACAAAAUUAUUUUCCCCAGGAAAUUCUGUCUAUACAGUCACGGUUUGUUCUUCCCCAGCAGACUAACAAAACAGCUUACAUUGCCAAGACAUGCAUGUUUCUUUUCAUUCCUAUUUGCAACAUGUUUUUUUCUCCUGGAGAUUUCAGCCACUUUCCCAAUGGUUAAUUACUACUGUACGAACCUGGCUUGGUGUGACCCACAGAACUGCACAACAUCACCCCAGGCCACCAACACCAUCAAGUUUCUCAUUUUCUAAGCUGCAUGGGCAAAUGUCAAGAACCUGAACCUCAGUUACGCGAAGGAGACUGGGACCGUCAUACCAGAGCAACACAUUCCAGCAGUAACAAUUCACUCUGACAUGCCAAGAAAUAGGAAGGAUUGUAAAGGUUAGUUAAGAAUUCAUUUGUGCACCAGGGCAUUUAAAGUCCUAACACAGCAAAAUUGAAAAAAAUAAACCAUUUAUUGUUACUGUUGCUAUUUCUAGUACAGCAUCUUUCCCCCCACCCUGCAAAAUGCUACCAGCAUUAUCAGCUACAGGAGUGGCACCCACUCCUCAAGGAAGAGUACUUGGUAGUUGUUUUCAUGAAACAAAUCAAGCUAGUUUUCCUAGCUUGAUGUUUCAGUUAAUAAAUAAAUAAUUUACAAUUUGUCACCUAAAACAAAGUAACAUUUGAGGUUUUUAAGAUAUUUUUUGUAUCCACAAAUGUUAUAUGUAAAAAAUGAGGCCUAAAUCUUUUCAGUAUAAGAACAAAAGCUCUUGAAAAUUCCAUCUGUCCACAUUAAGACAGAGAAACUGGGCACAGUUUCACAGAAAACAAUAAAAUGCAUUUAAUCAUUGCAUGUUUCCUGUCUUCUGACAGAUGAUGCCUCCUGUUGCCUGGGAAUGUCACAUUAUAAAGCACAGGGCUUAGUGAAAACUUGGAAGAGAUUAAGGCAAUGCUGUUAAUCAAACAAUAAAAGGAUUUUCAAGUUAUAUUUCAAAUAAACUAGAUACUUAUAAUCAUGCCAGACAUUCCAUCUAUAAUAGAAACAAAGGCAAAAUCUUCACUGCUUUUAUCACACCCACAUCCUUUGAGAAAAAAAAAUCCAAGGUCUACUCUUAUUUCAGCUUUAGCCUCUCAUCUAAGAGUUGUCAAUAAUGGGUCUAAGUAACACAAGCUUUUUUAUGUGAUGUGAACAUCUGCAAACAGUAAUAAGAUUACCCAUGAAUAUUUCACAAUGUCUUCAGAACAUUUAUCUGUGGGUAACACAGCUGACUUGCUAGCAUACUAGUUUUGAGUGAGUGAACUAGAAGCUAAAGUCACUCCCCACCAGCCCCUUGUGCCCUUUCAUCUUUCCUUAAUGAGAUGAACCAAACCAAAACUCCCCAAAAAGUAGCACAAUCCUAGUACAUGAAGGGUAAAAAAAUACAUCUUUAAGUCUAAAUGACUGUGUAGUAACAUAAUAUUUAAUACAACUGUGGCUACCCCAGUGCCUUAAUUCCUGCUUUGCAAGGCAAUAGCACAUACACAAAGGGAAUUAUUCGAAGUCUGCAUAAUAAGCACUCAUUCCUGCCAG